GGGUAGGGGAGCGUUCUGUAAGCCUGUGAAGGUGGCCUGUGAGGGUUGCUGGAGGUAUCAGAAGUGCGAAUGCUGACAUAAGUAACGAUAAAGCGGGUGAAAAGCCCGCUCGCCGGAAGACCAAGGGUUCCUGUCCAACGUUAAUCGGGGCAGGGUGAGUCGACCCCUAAGGCGAGGCCGAAAGGCGUAGUCGAUGGGAAACGGGUUAAUAUUCCCGUACUUGGUGUUACUGCGAAGGGGGGACGGAGAAGGCUAUGUUGGCCGGGCGACGGUUGUCCCGGUUUAAGCGUGUAGGUGUGUGUUCCAGGUAAAUCCGGUUCACUUUAACACUGAGGCGUGAUGACGAGGCACUACGGUGCUGAAGCAACAAAUGCCCUGCUUCCAGGAAAAGCCUCUAAGCAUCAGGUAACAUCAAAUCGUACCCCAAACCGACACAGGUGGUCAGGUAGAGAAUACCAAGGCGCUUGAGAGAACUCGGGUGAAGGAACUAGGCAAAAUGGUGCCGUAACUUCGGGAGAAGGCACGCUGACA
rnacentral:rRNA from 1 species